rfam:Salmo salar isolate Sally breed double haploid chromosome ssa03, whole genome shotgun sequence.
AUUUUUACGAAUUGUAAGUCGCUCUGGAUAAGAGCGUCUGCUAAAUGACUUAAA